rnacentral:lncRNA from 10 species
AGAAGCAGGCACCAGCUAGUGUGCGAAUUCAGAGGAAGGAGACCGAAUCCAGCCUGGGCACAGGAGGGAAAGCGUCCUGGAGGCAGCUGGUCCCCAGGUGGCCCUUAAGGAUAAAGAAAAGUUAGCUUGGUGAAGGGCUGAGGAAGGCAGUGAGCCUUCUAGGAAGAGGGGAGAAAUCAAGCACAGGCGUGGCCCUGACACGGAGGGCUGCACAGAAGGUGGCUCUCACUGGGAACAUGGCCAAGAGUGGACAACACCUGGGGACCCCUGCCGAAUCUGCCGGUGCCUGGGUACAGAGGUGCUUAAUCAGAAAGCAUCGGCAUGGCGAGGGCCAUUCAUAACUCUGAGUUCCAACAAAAGUUGAUAUCUGGAAGAUUAAUAAAAGUUUAAUUUAAGAAAACGUUGAGUAAGCUUAUCCUUAUUCCUACCCAAAGAGUACAACAGAAAUAUAUUCCACAAGAGUAAAGCAAAAUCAGUAAAAUUAUCUCAAGUAAAUUAAAUCAGAAGGCUUUCCAUGAACUGGGCAA